rnacentral:rRNA from 1 species
AGGGGGCUAGCGUUGUUCGGAAUUACUGGGCGUAAAGCGCGUGUAGGCGGCUUUGCAAGUCGGGUGUGAAAGCCCUCAGCUCAACUGAGGAAGUGCGCCCGAAACUGCUUAGCUUGAGUAUCGGAGAGGAUGGCGGAAUUCCCCAAGUAGAGGUGAAAUUCGUAGAUAUGGGGAGGAACACCGGUGGCGAAGGCGGCCAUCUGGACGAUCACUGACGCUGAGACGCGAAAGCGUGGGGAGCAAACAGG